AUACUUAAACAAUGUCUCU
rnacentral:snRNA from 1 species